CCCCUUAGUCCAACACAUCCGAUGCUAACAAUUAAGUGUCUACCUGUACUAAUCCCAUUUGCCAGUAAUUGGUCUAUAGUCGUUGCUAUUGUGGACCAUGUGCUCUUCACGAUACUUGAUUAUAAACACCCACUAGGUGAUAUUUUGUUUCCUCCGCCACUCUAAACCUCUUGCCCUGUAACUUAAAUCCUUUGGUUUACAACACCUUAUGUCUGGAACUCUCUGAUGAAAUAUGAGAGAGAGAGAAAUAAAACUCACUUAAGGAGUAGUUGAAUGAAUACUUGAAGUACCAUGUUCUGCAUGACUGCAGGCUUAAGACUGAACGAGAGAGAUAGCUCUUUAGAGUCAGAGUUCGAGGCAGAAACAGGCCCUUCAGCUCAACUAGCCCCUCCUGAUCUACAUGCCUCAUCCAAGCCAGUCCCAUUUGCCCGCAUCUGGUCAACACCCACCCAAACCUUCUCUACCUAUCAAAGUCUCUCUUCAAUGUUAUUGUACCUCCCUCAAAUACUUCCUCUGUCAGCUCGUUCCAUAUACCCACUACCCU